rnacentral:rRNA from 1 species
AUGGAGGGCGGCGCCAUCAGGUGGGCGCAAUGGGUGGUGGGGAAGGCGCUGAGCCCGCUAUCCGACGGCCUGGUGGAGGCUUGGGCGGCCACCAAGGACCUCCACCCCAACAUCAAGGCCCUCAAGAUGGAGCUGCUCAAUGCACAGGCCAUACUCCACACUGCCGGCACAAGGGAGAUCCACAACCCCGCUCUCUCGGAGCUACUUCAGAUGUUGCGGGGCUUGGGAUACCUCGCAGACGAUGUCCUGGACGAGCUCGACUACUUCCGCAUCCAGGACGAGCUCGACCGCACCUUCGAGACCGUCCACGACCUCGGAUGCGUUCGCAACCUCGUCCACGACGCUCGCCACGUGGCCUCUGCAGCCGCCAGGCAGCUCUCGUGCGCCUCUGCUCGUGAUUCCACCAACCGCGUCGAGGGGGAGUCCUGCAGGUGUGUGCGUCGGCUGGCUUCCCGUGCCCAUACCACCGCCCAUGCUGCAGGUGCCGCCGCCAAGCAGCUCUGGUGUGCAUCGUGCUCGUCUAAUUCUCGGGGGUCCGAUGAGGAGUCUGAUGGGGAGUCUGUUCGUGAACAUAAUGAUAGAAAGCAAGCCUGUAGUCCUACAAAACCAAAGUUGAAAUUUGAUAGGGUGGACGUCUCUACAAGAAUGAAAUAUAUCACAGAUGAGCUAAAGCCCAUGUGUGCUAAGGUCUCUACCAUUCUUAGUCUAGAGUUAUCGAGCUCUACCCAUGACAUUAGUAAUGUUGCCUCUACAAGUAGACCCAUAACCACUUCACAAGCUUUAGAUCCUACAUUAUAUGGGAGGGAACCCCAGAAGAACACCAUUAUCCAGGACAUUAUAAUGGGUGGAGAUCUCACCGUUAUUCCUAUAGUUGGUCCCGGUAUAGGGAAAACAACUCUCACUCAGUACAUAUACAAUAGUAAAGAAGUGCAAGAUCAUUUCGAAAUAAGAGUCUGGGUGUGUGUAUGUUUCGACUUUAGUGUGUAUAGGUUGACACAAGAGAUUGUGUGCUCCAUCCCUAAAGCAGAAGGUGAACAAAACGAUAGAAAAGAUAAUGAGGUACAAAACUUGGACCAACUUCAGAAAUUAAUUGAAAGAAGGCUGAAAAAUAAAAGAUUUCUACUUGUUUUAGAUGAUAUAUGGAAAUAUGGUAAUGAAGAUGAGUGGAAAAGAUUCAUAGUUCCCUUUAAAAAACAGCGAGGAAACGGUGAUACAGUUCUAGUCACAACCCGAUUCGUCGAAGUAGCUGAAAUGAUUAGGAGAGGAGAUAAACUGUUCGAACUAGAAGGUUUGGAGCCGAAAGAAUAUUGGAGCCUUUUCCUAGCAUGUGUUUUUGAUGAAUUUGAUCAACAAUAUAAUUUGGACUUGAUGAAAAUCGGGGAAAAGAUUGUCGAAAAAUUGAAGGGUUCUCCCCUUGCAGCAAAAACUGUGGGUAGAUUGUUGAGGGAAAAACUAACUGUAGAUCAUUGGACAAAAGUUCUUGAAAGUAAAGAAUGGGAAUCACAGACCAGUGAUCAUGAUAUCAUGCCCGCGCUGAGGCUUAGCUAUGACUACCUCCCUUUUCACCUGAAACAAUGCUUUUCCUCUUGUGCAUUAUUUCCUGAAGAUUACAAGUUUGACUGUGAGGAGCUAAUUCACUUCUGGAUAAGACUAGAUAUUUUACUCCUAGGUCAGAGAACCCAAAGAGUUGAAGAUAUAGGACAUAACAACUUGAAUGACUUGGUUAAUUAUGGAUUUUUCAAAAAAGAAACAGAUGAUUCAGGUACACACUAUGUUAUGCAUGAUCUGCUACAUGAUUUAGCCUUGAAGGUUUCCUCACAAGAAUGUCUACAUAUAGCUUUUUCUAGUCCAAGACAUUUAGAAAUUGCACCAUCUGUCUACCAUUUGUCCAUUAGUAUGAGUGAUUCGGCUGAUAGUAAGGAUGGAGUUGCGGGGAAAAAAUUUAGGGGAGACUUGGAUAAAAUAAGGAACAUACUGAAUUUUGAGAACUUGCGCACUUUGAUGUUGUUUGGAAUAUAUGAUGCAAGCUUUGUUCGUAUAUUCAGUGAUUUAUUCAAAGAUGCAAAAUCGUUGCGCGUUGUAUAUUUGUCAACAAUGUACUACCCUGUGGAGUCUCUAUUGCACAACAUCUGAAAGCUUGUCCAUCUUCGCUAUCUACGGCUUUUGUCAAUGUUUGGUAGUUAUCAAAGUGUACCAUGUUUGUCAAGAUUUUAUCAUUUAAGGGUGCUAGACAUAAGACAGUGGUAUGAUGAUCGUAGUCUGCUUGCAGAUAUGGCUAACCUUGUAAAAUUGCGCCAUUUCCUUGUUGAAACUUAUAAAUUCCAUUCGAAUAUUUGUAAUGUGGGAAAACUACAUAACUUACAAGAACUACAGAGUUUUGAAGUUAGGAGAGGAAGGAGUGGUUUUGAACUGAGGGAGCUGGGGAAACUAGAGGAGCUAGGAGGAUCACUUGCCAUCUAUAAUCUUGAGAAAGCAUUAGUAAAUGAGGCACAUGAGGCAAAACUAUUAUACAAAAACCGCUUGCAGAAAUUAACACUAAGUUGGGAGGAAGGCCGAUCUAAUGUGAGUCCUGACUUAGAAGAUAAAGUACUCGAAAGCCUACGGCCACAUAGCAAUCUUCAUGAGCUAUGCAUUGAUGGGCAUGGAGGCCUUACUUGCCCUACAUGGCUGGGUACAAAUAUGUCCACCAAAGGUGUGGAGGGUCUCAUCCUAAAGCACACAAAUUGGGAAUUCCUUCCACCCCUUGGAGAGCUAUAUCUGAUUCGUGAGUCUGGAGGAGAGUAUUUAGGUUGCAUCACAGGCACAUUCUUUCGUAACUUGAAAAUGCUAAAACUCAUUGGGUUGCCAAGAUUUAGUAGAUGGGCAGCAAAUGAAGUUUGCCCUUGGUACUUCUCACUUCUUGAAGUACUCGUUGUGAAGGGUUGUGCUGAACUAACUGAGUUGCCGUUCUCAUCUAAUACUAGUUGCUACCCCUCGAAAAGAGAUUUGAAUUUGACUUGGUUUCCUAGGCUAAAAAGGAUUAAAAUUGUGGAUUGCCCAAAACUUCGGUCGCUGCCUCCUAUUCCUUGUAGUCACACUUUCUGCUCUGUUAGACUACAGGGACUUGUAGGACGAGGUCUGAAGGUGUUAGAUUACUCACACGAAUCAAGCGAUUUGAACAUAGAAGGAAGUGAUGCUCUGCAUAGCCUAGAUGAGACGGUCUUGGUGUUCCAUAAUUUAACCCAACUACAAAGUUUGUAUAUUAAAAAUUGCCCACCGCUGGCUGAGAAAGACUUUCAAAUGCUAACCUCGUUGAAGAACCUCGAAAUAGAUGGUUCAAGCAUUAUGUUAGCAAGAAGCGACGCCAUAUGGCAGCUUCCAGUUAACAUCUUAGUGAUACGGUGGUGGCGUGGUAGCUGGAAGGAACUGACACGUCUACUGGCUCAUCUCCCUGAGCUCUCUUGCUUGUGUAUAGUUCUGUGUGAGAUGUUAACAGGGUUGGGCGUGGAGGCCCAUCAACAACAAGAAAUAGCGCAGGAGGUCGUCGCUGUGGAAGAAAAAGAAGGAGAAGAAGACGAAGAAGAAGAUGACGAUGGGCUGCUGCUCUUACCGUCCCAUCUCUCCUACUCUAUCCAGGAGUUGAGGAUCAACCAUUGUCGAGAACUUGUCCUGACUGCCCUCAAGAGUAGCCGCGGGACAGGAGGAGGUCUGCAAUCCAUGGGCUCCAAUACAAGUAGUAGAUUCCUGUCGUCCUACAAGGCCUCCUCGGAUCUCUCUUCCUGUUGCCCUUUCCCGUCCUCUCUGCAAUCCCUCAUCCUUGGAGGUCGUAUGGAGGGCAUUGAGACGCUGGCUCCCCUCUCCAACCUCACUUCUCUUGAGAAGUUAAGCAUUUGGGAAUUGGGGGAUGAUUUUAGGUGCGACGGCCUGUUGCCUCUCCUUACCGAGGGCCAGCUGAACACAUUACAAGUCCGCAACACCCCGGUUUUUUUUGCUGGCAUUCAGGGUCCCGCUCCUGCUCCCGCACAGGCGGUCUCCAAACUGCAGAAACUCGAUACGGACGACAUCGCACAAGUCCUUGCUGCGCCCAUCUGCGGCCUCCUCUCUUCCUCCCUCACCGAAUUAUACUUUUGUAAUGACAACGAGGUGGAGCGCUUAAGCAAGGAGCAAGAGGAAGCUCUUUCUCUCCUCACAUCCCUCCAGGACCUCCAAUUUGUGUGCUGCAGCAAGCUGCGGUGCCUCCCCGCAGGGCUUCACAAGCUCACCAACCUCAAGAGAUUGAAUAUCACUCUCUGUCCAGCCAUGAGGUCACUGCCAAAGAAUGGCCUCCCCACCUCGCUGCAAGAGUUCGAUGUCCACGGUUGCGGAAAUGAGAAGCUAAAACAGCGAUGCAGACGGUUAAUGGGGAGCAUCCCAUUAAUCAGCCUAUAG